UCUGGGUCGCAUGGCUUCAUAUCGUGGCCUAUUUGCGGGUGGUGUAUACUCUCUCAUUUGGGUCGAUGUUGGGGCCGUGCAGCCUUUCAGUCGUGUCUGUGUUAACAGGUGUUGGCUAGGUCGGUGGGUUUUCUCGCUGAUCUGUCAGCAUGCGAGUGUUCAAAGCAGGCCUGUGUGCCUAAAAAGUCUUGCAUGGAAUAAUGGAAUAGGACUUCGGUUCUAUUUUGUUGGUUUUCGGAUCCGAAGUAAUGG
rnacentral:rRNA from 1 species